CUGCUCAAUGAUAUUUAAAAUAUUAAAUAGCCGCUAUUUAGUGCUAAGGUAGCAUAAUCAUUUGCUUUUUAAUUAAAAGCUAGAAUGAAAGGUAAAACAUUUAAAUUUCUUUAUUAAAAUUAAAUUUUUAAUUUAUAUUAAGUAUAAAAAUAUACUUUUUUUAAAAAAAGACGACAAGACCCUAUUAAACUUAACUUAUGUUUAACUGGGGCAGUUAUUUAAUAAAAAUUUUAAUAAAAAAUUAUAUUUAAAAAUAUCUAAUAAUAUUAAAUAUAACAAGUUACUAUAGGGAUAACAGCGUUAUAAUUUUUUAAAGCUCUUAUUUAAAAAAUUGAUUGCGACCUCGAUGUUGAAUUAUAUUUCUUUAUUUAUGCA
rnacentral:rRNA from 1 species